CCUGAACUAGAACCCAAAUCCUUCGUACAGCAGUUGCAGUUAUUGUGGGGGAAAUGUCAAUUUUAAUAACAGACAUUACAGUUUUGAGGUACACAGAAGCUUAAUUUAGAAACCAAAGCUGUUUUGUCAGAUGGGUUAUGGAUUCCUUGCCUCCAAAAUAGACACGAAAAUGAGGCUUGAAGCAGCCCCAAACACUGCAGAUUCCCCAGCUUUUCAAACAAGAUUAAACUUGAAAGCACGGUUAUACUGGGCUGAAAUGCGUGUCUUAAAAGCACCCCUUGCAAAAUUAUCCUGUGUGAGAAACCUGUGGUGAGAAACCAUUCCCUGAAGCAUUUCUCUCUGGGCCUGCCUGCUGCAGGCCUCGAGUGCCCCAGACGCUCCCACCAGGAUGUGCCUCCCCAAACAGCGACUUUUCCCCUUUUGAGGGGAGAAUUUAUAAACCCGCUGGUUUCUAAAUUUAUAAAUAGCUUCACGGCUGUGUCCCGGCCGAGGGGACAGCGCUGCUGCUGCCCUCAGCGCACGGCUCAGGGCGGGCAGGCCGCGGGCCUCGUCGCGGAGCCGCCAGGCCCGCUGCAGGCAGCUCCCUGCCAGCUCCAGCCCGGAGCCAGCAUUCCUCAGCCGGAGAGCCUCUCAGCCGAUGAAAAGGCCCAAUUCAGCUCCUGCACGGCGAGUACCUGACACCUUCCCCAGCACAAAGAGGGCUUUCUGCCUCCUGCCCCGGCCGCGGCUGGGGAAGCGGUGGCAGAGCAGCUGCCUCUCGCCCAGAGGGGUCACCGAGCCACAUCCUGCGCACACCCCGAACAAAACCCACUUGUCUUGGGGGGUGGAGGAGAAUGUAGCUCCGGGCAGGUGGCUGCCAGCCGGGCUCGUGGCUCCAGGUCUGCCAAACUUGUGGAUGGGAUGGUUCUGUCAAGUCUGCAAGCCUUGCUCGGGAGAGACCAAGUUGGAAGCGGUCCACAGAAGUUCCCUGACCCAGCAGUGCCUGAAUGCAGGCUACAGUGUAGGCCACAGACCCCACAGGAUGCAGAUUGCUCAGCUCAGAGACCCUACAAUAUUUCUGCUUUUCAGCCAGGGACUGUCAGAUGUGAUAUGUACAAUCCAUCCAGGAGGAGAGGACUUCCAUGGAGAGGACUUUCCAUAUCAGGACUUCCAUGCCUCAGCUGAGAGCCAAAGCUUCCAGGCUGCAGCCAGGGCCUCCCUGCCCAAUCCUUGCCUGUGCCUUGGAGACUCUGUCUUGCUCAUCAAUGGUCUCUGGUCCAAUGCUCCCAGUGUGGGAUAUUGGGAAGCUGGCCUGCCGCCCUCCCCAGUUUCCCCAUCCACCACAGGGGUAUUCCAGCCUCACAGAUACUGAUCUGACACCUAAACCCAGACUCUGCAGUGCAGAGCAUUGCAGCAAACCCUAUCCUUGACUCUGUUCCUGUGAAACCCAGUGUGCAUGUUGGCUUCAGCUGGCUUCAUAGUGUCAUGGAAUCAUUCUGGCUGGAAAUCCAGAUCUGGUGAUCUGGAUCUCUCCAAGAUCACCAAUUCCAACCAUUAACCCAGCACUGCCAGGUCCUCUGCUAAACCAUGUCCCCAAAUGCCACAUCCACACAUUUCUGAGCACUUCACAGGGUAGUAACUCUGCAGCUGCUCUGGACAGCCUCUUCCAGUUCCUGACAAACUUCUCUGUGAGGUUCAGUCUUCUCAGUCAUCCUGCUGCACAAAAGCACAAGGACAAGUCAUCCUCCCCAUAUCUGGUGUCCCCAAAGCCCGUGGUGGUGCCCAAUGAGGCUCAGCUCUUUAUAGGAGACUAAAUUGAUGCUGGAAGCAUUUGCAUUCCUUCUGAAUGCAAGCCAGAUGUGACGUGAAACAUCACAUGUCAGGCAGAUUGGCCCAAAAACAAAAGCAAGAUUGCUCUCA